UGUGAGAGGCCAGUAAUAGAAAUCAAAAUGUAUCACUUUAGUACAUUACAUGUCUGAGUCUGUCAUUCCAAAGUAAGUGCCUCUUAAAACCAGAUGCUCCCUCUGCAAUAUUUGAUGUGUGUUUAUAAUGGGUGGACAAAGGAGAUAUUACAUCUUUUGUUAUCACUAAGCACCAAGGUCAAAUUUGAUUUCUGACUGUCUGGUGCUGUUCCACUCCUCCCAGGAGGAAUGAAUUCAUGAGCAGAGCAAAGCAUCCAGCAGUGGCACAUCCCAGAUACUGUUCCUGCUUCAGGUUCAAAAGGGUGUGACAGAACAGCCGCAAGAAAGGCUGCCUCCACUUUUCCUGGCUGUGGCAGUCAUGUCAGGUGGACAGGGGGAGAGAAAGGAGGAGGUUACAAUGCCUGCACGCAGACUGAAAGACUCCUGACAAAGCACAUGGCUUGCCUGUUGCGAAGGAGCAGCUCUACAGCCAAGCCUCAGAGGUCAAGGAGAGGAUACAUUCCUCGAGACCCAGAGGGAGACUGUGUGAAGGUUGCUGCAACCCAAGAAAGCAGUGCAAAUUGCUGGACUCCGGAUCAUCUGGAAGGAGGAGCUCAUUCUUAAAGGAAAUAGGAAAGAGGGGAAAGAUUUGUUUUCAAAACUUUUAUUUAUCUGCAUCAUUCAGAUCUGCAUUUUCUCUGUUUUAAGGGGUUGUCCGUGCUCUAAGAAAACAUACAGAUUGUAACUACUUGAAUGUUUUGGGGUAUGCUCAUUCUACAGAUAAGAUUGGCUAGUGCUACCUCAAGGUUCAGACCUCCUCAGAGUCACUUCAAAACCUCAUAAAGGGAAAUGUUUAUAGAUAAGCGUUCUGGGAUGGGGCCCCCCCCUUCCCUAUUUGGAAGUGACUACAGAAAUAUUAGUAAAUUAUCCCUGGUGUAAUUUAUUUGGCCAGUCCUGCUGGUAGAAGAAGACAAAUAGCUACUAUAAUGGACUAGAAACCAUGGAAAAAUAAGCUUGCUGUUUAAACUCCUGGAGCUAAUCUAAGCAGUGAUGACAAGAUGUCUCUGGUUAGUACAAGAGAUUUAAGAGCACACUCUAAUACUGUUUUCUGUUUCCCUCAAUUUUUGCCUGCUUUUCUAUCUCUAGAUGCUAAAAUCAAACAUUUCCAUUUUCCAAGAAAGCACCUAUCUUAUAAUACACAUAAAAAAAAAAGUAUAUUUCCUAUUCUAAGACAUCAUUUAUUUAUAAAAUCUGUGGUUCAACUUUACAAGUUCACAGAUGUGUGGGCCACCAUACAGUCAGCCAAGUUCUCUGCUGUCCUAUAUCCUCAAGCAAUCCUAGUGCAAUCCAGAAAAAUAAAUGUAUAAGCUACAGGACUAAACUAUCAACAAAAGACAUUGAUCCCUCUGUAAACUGAGCAUAAAGAACUAUGCAUUUUUUUACCCAUAUUCCCUUCCUGUUUUGGGAUAAUUGAGAGUGUUACUGAACAUGAACUGAAACCUAAAUGCCACAUGCUUUGUAAAAGCAUUGUAACCUGAAUCCUAUCUGCAUUGUCUUCACUGAGCAAAUCUGCACCAUACUUAACUUCGUUAAUAUCUGUUAUAUUACACUAGCUAUCUGAGAUGCCAAUGGAUUGGUGUAUGAGAGCAAUGGUUGGUAAUAAGUAUAAUUCUGAUUGUCUGAUUUGCUAUAUUUGAUGGGACUUUGUUGAGGUAUUCAACAAAGAAAGUACAUAAAUAAUUUGAUACUGUGAAAUAUGGGAUUCCUGUGUUAAUGGUCUGAGGUUUAUGAUGCAACAUGUGCAGACUCACCUUCAGAAAUUACUAUGCAGUUCACAGGAGAUUUUACAAACUGCUGUUUUCAGAAAUAUGUUAUUUUAUUAUCAUGGGGAAAAAGGCAGGUCAGGUACUACUGUCACCAUUGUAAGCAUCUGUAAAGCAAGCUUCUCAUGCAAAGAAUUAGGAAAGAUCUGCAGAUCUUACCUGAAGAUGCAAUGAAAUGACUGCUUGUAUUUAUAUCAGUUUUUAUAACACUGUGAUAAUUAUUAAAGGACAAAUAUUGAUAUUGUUGCUGGGGUAAUCCAAAUUUUGGCAGUGAUAUUUCUGAGAAUUCUUUCACUGUCAGCAUCGCGUUGUCUGUGACUAUUUUACUCACAAGUAGUAAGCUGCUUAUACAAUCUAAUUUGCCAAAAGUUACUUAGCCAAGAGAAGAAUCAAAAUCACUAUUGAGAUAAAGACAUCUGCUUCUGCAUUAGAACACCAGGGAAAGCAAAUGCUGAUGUAGUUUUCAAAAUAGCGAACAUGAAAAGUAGAAGAUGCCACAGAAAUGUGUUAAACAGAGUACUGGUAACUAUCAAAGUCUUGUUAAAAAGAGAAGUCCCAGAGAAAGAUUUCAGGACUUCCAGAAAAAGCAGAGGAUCCACACGAGAAAAGAUGUAAAGACUUCUCUUUAUAUCAUACUACAGUGUGCAAAUAAACAAACAGCACUUGAUGAAAGAGUUCUGUUGGCAAAUUUGAUGACAAUACUGAAUCAGCAGUGGCCAACAAGACAAACAAUGAAUCUAGUCUCCAAACAGACCUUCAUAAUCUUGAGGAAGCCACCAACAUCAAAAACUUCAACAAGGAGCCCAUAGUUUUUCCCUGGUGCAAAACAACACCAUGCAUCAACUUAGAAUGGGAACCGACUGGUUAAAUAGCUGAAAAGAACCUGGGGAUUAUUGUGGAUGCCAAGUUGAAUGAGAGCAAGCAGUGUGCUUUCUUUGUGAGUCAAGCAAAAUGCAUACUGGGCUGCAUCAGGAGCUCCAAGGCCAACAGACUGCGGGAAGUGCUUACGCCCUGUGCUCACCACUGGUGAGGCCACAUUGAAUACUGUAUUAAGUUCUGAGAUUCCUAAAUCAGAGGGAUAUUGAGAGACUGGAGAGGGUCCAGUGGAGGGCUAUCGAGACAAGCUAGACUAAAGCACAUGACAUAAGAGGAGAAGCUGUGGGGUGUGAGCUGGUUUAGUCUAGCGAAGAGGUCAAGCAGCCUUGCAGUCACUUAAAGCAUGCUCCUGUCAAAGACAGCCAAGCCAAAACUCUGCUUGGUAAUAACAGAUGAUGUAGUAAGGGACAACAGCCACAGACUGCACCUUGAGAAGUUCAGAUUGCUGAGGAGGAAAAACUUUUCCACAAGGAGUGUGGUGCGGCACUGGAACUGGUUACCCAUGGAGAUGGUAGAAAUCUCUACCCUUGGUGCUUUUCAUGCUCACGCAGACGAAGGCAGAGCUGGCCUCACCUAGUUAGGUGACAGCCCUGCUUUGAAUGUGAAGUUGGACAAGAGA